AGUGAACGCUGGCGGUAGGCCUAACACAUGCAAGUCGAACGGCAGCACAUUAAGAGCUUGCUCUUACGGGUGGCGAGUGGCGGACGGGUGAGGAAUACAUCGGAAUCUACUUUUUCGUGGGGGAUAACGUAGGGAAACUUACGCUAAUACCGCAUACGACCUACGGGUGAAAGCAAGGGAUCUUCGGACCUUGCGCGAUUGAAUGAGCCGAUGUCGGAUUAGCUAGUUGGCGGGGUAAAGGCCCACCAAGGCGACGAUCCGUAGCUGGUCUGAGAGGAUGAUCAGCCACACUGGAACUGAGACACGGUCCAGACUCCUACGGGAGGCAGCAGUGGGGAAUAUUGGACAAUGGGCGCAAGCCUGAUCCAGCCAUACCGCGUGGGUGAAGAAGGCCUUCGGGUUGUAAAGCCCUUUUGUUGGGAAAGAAAAGCAGCAGGUUAAUACCCCGCUGUUCUGACGGUACCCAAAGAAUAAGCACCGGCUAACUUCGUG
rnacentral:rRNA from 1 species